CUAUUUAGGCUUUCUUUAUUGCAAGUUCUGUUUAAUUAAGAUUUUCUUAUCCCCUGCCAUGUUAAUAGCUUGCUAGACCCUGCAAGAGCCUCCUGUAUGUGAUUAAAGUUCAAUUUAGAGAUUGAGAUACAAUUAUUUAAGGUAAAUUACAUCUAUUUGAAAGUGAAACCAGUUUUUUUUUUUUUUUUUUCAUGCAGGCUCUGUCAAUCAUAGCCAGGGGAGGUGUGGCUAGGGCUGCAUAAACAGAAACAAAGUGAUUUAACUCCUAAA